CACUGUAUUUUUCAGGGAAUCCCACCAAAAUAAACACACAGCAAUGAAAUUAGCUGCAAUUUUGUCAUAUACCACAGAAAAAGGUACUUUAUACUAACUAGAUUAUAACAUGAAGUAAAUUUUGUUAGCUUUGUGGAAAGCUAAAGGG